GACCGCGUUUCUGCGCUUCAGAUUGCGUUUUUCCGACUCCUUUGUUUGAUAUCGUGUCGUAUCGUCGUAUUUAUGUAGUUAUUAGGAACGGCAAGGCCUACGUUGUUGCGUCCUUUACCUGAAUAUCGUGACCGAAUCGAGUGUCGGCGAUUUGAAUCGUGUCUUGCGAACCAUCGUCGAACGAAAGGUGAUGGCUGGUCGUGGUUCAUCAGCGUUUGUUUUGAAACUGAUGGGUACCACAAGGCAUGAAGGAGGUGACUUGCAGCAGCAAGGCACUGCAAGCCUUCGCAGCAACUGGCUAGCCAGUGCUGCUCUGUUCUGAACUGCACUGCGUGUCAUGCGGAGGUUUUGUGCAAGCUCUCUGGGCGGCGACGCUAGCCACGAUUGGCUUCGUGGAUGCACAGAAAUACUCAAGGCGCUUGACGUCUGUGGCUCAUCUGUAUUGUUUUUCCCGGUACCACGGCAUGAAGGAGCUGGCCUCCCUCCCUUCCAUCAGCUGCGAGAUACUACAAGCACUGGGCUACAGCUGCAGCUAGCCCAUGGGUACCGUUCUGCGUCCUGUACUGCAUCUAGUUCGAAAGGCAGGUACCGGGGACCAUGACAUCAGUGAGCUGGCUUUCACCUUGUCCAAGGCAGCAGCGGAACACUACGGGCGGGACCCUGGAUCACUGCACCAUGGAUGCCGUCCUGUACCCUGCACGGCACUGCG
rnacentral:lncRNA from 1 species